rnacentral:rRNA from 1 species
CCCUUCGUGGGUUCGGCUUCUAAUGGUCUCUUUGAUGAGACGUGUGUAUUUGAGAUCUC